AGCGAACGCUGGCGGCAGGCCUAACACAUGCAAGUCGAACGGAACUCUUCGGGGUUAGUGGCGGACGGGUGAGUAACACGUGGGAACGUGCCUUUUGGUUCGGAAUAACUCAGGGAAACUUGUGCUAAUACCGAAUGUGCCCUUCGGGGGAAAGAUUUAUCGCCAUUAGAGCGGCCCGCGUCUGAUUAGCUAGUUGGUGA
rnacentral:rRNA from 1 species